GACGAGGUGGCCGAGAGGUUAAAGCGAUGGACUACUAAUCCAUUGUGCUCUGCACGCGUGGGUUCGAAUCCCACCCUCGUCG
rnacentral:tRNA from 1 species